rnacentral:rRNA from 1 species
UACAGAGGUCUCAAGCGUUGUUCGGAUUCAUUGGACGUAAAGGGUGCGUAGGUGGCGCCAUAAGUCGGGUGUGAAAUCUCGGGGCUUAACUCCGAAACUGCAUUCGAUACUGUGGUGCUUGAGGACUGGAGAGGAGACUGGAAUUCAUGGUGUAGCAGUGAAAUGCGUAGAGAUCAUGAGGAAGACCAGUGGCGAAGGCGGGUCUCUGGACAGUUCCUGACACUGAGGCACGAAGGCCAGGGGAGCAAACGGG